rnacentral:rRNA from 1 species
GAGAGAGACAUGCGCGCAUAUCAAUAAGCGGAGGAAAAGAAACUAACAAGGAUUCCCUUAGUAACGGCGAGUGAAGCGGGAAGAGCUCAAAUUUGAAAUCUUCAAGGUUUUACCUUGACGAAUUGUAGUUUAAAGAAGUGUUUUCUGCUGAAGUUUUGGUAAAAGUUCUUUGGAAUAGGACAUCAUAGAGGGUGAGAAUCCCGUAUUUGACCAUUAUUUUCAGCUUUGUGAUACACUUUCAAAGAGUCGGAUUGUUUGGGAAUGCAGUCCAAAAUGGGUGGUAAAUUUCAUCUAAAGCUAAAUAUUGGCGAGAGACCGAUAGCGAACAAGUACCGUGAGGGAAAGAUGAAAGAACUUUGAAAAGAGAGUUAAACAGUACGUGAAAUUGUCAAAAGGGAAGCAGUUUGACACCAGUGUUGUUUUCUCGAAAAUCAAUUAAAAAUGGCUCGAUUUUGUAUUGUUGAGACCUUAAAAGCUCACUGUACAUUUUUCGUGUCUUUUUAAUGCACUUUUCGUUUAACAAGUCAACAUCAGUUUCUUUUGUUGUAAAAGGGUCAUUGGAAGGUGGCUUUCUUUUCGGAGAAAGUGUUUAUAGCCUUUGGCCUCUGCAAUCGAAGAGACUGAGGUCUGCAGCGUAGACUCUUCGGGGUUAGAUACAUUUGUGCUAAGUUAUAGCUUUUUAUAGACAACUUGUUGACUAUAAUUAGUCUUGUAGCUUACUCGCUUAUGCUAUUUUACCUACGCUUAGGAUGUUGAAGUCAUCGUAUCGCGC